rnacentral:rRNA from 1 species
CCUACGGGAGGCAGCAGUAGGGAAUAUUGCUCAAUGGGGGAAACCCUGAAGCAGCAACGCCGCGUGGAGGAUGAAGGUUUUAGGAUUGUAAACUCCUUGUGGUAGAGAAGAGGAGGACGGUAGCUAACGAAUAAGCACCGGCGAACGCCGGGCCAGCAGCCGCGGUAAUACGGAGGGUGCAAGCGUUACUCGGAAUCACUGGGCGGAAAGAGGGCGGAGGCGGGGUAAUCAGUCAGAUGUGAAAUCCUGUCGCUUAACUACAGAACGGCAUUUGAAACUGUUACUCUGGAGUGUGGGAGAGGUAGGUGGACUUCUUGGUGUAGGUGUCAAAUCCGU